UCGCCGUUCUUCAUCGACAGUUUCUUCAGGAAUAGCAUCCAUUGUUGGAAUGAACCGUCGUUUACUGACUCGUGCGGACGCCUUGAAAACGAGCGAAUGGCGAUGGAGUUCAUCUUGAAGGAUGGAUUUCUCAAGAAAUUCAAACUCUCGCUGCUCCUCUUUCUUGGGGUCUCGCACAAGGACAGGAAGGGUCCAACAUUAUGACGAUCUUUUGCGACUGGACAAGAAGCCCGUCGUCAGACGUGAUGUCAAUCCAAUCCUUCGGAAUCAACGGGAAAUCAUCCAACGAAGCUGCGGGACGGCAAUCGGGAACGAGUUGCUCGUGAUCACCACAUGUUUCCCCAAUUCGGGCAACACGACACUUUUCAGCGUCUUUUUGUGGGACAUUUUUGGUUGCACGUAAACCCAACUGCUGCCUCGCAACCUCGGACAAACGAUUCACGCUCACCGGAAUACGAGACAAGAAGGAUCGCUGUUGGUGACAGGCCAAAUUGGGAAGAGGAUCAGCAAGGCUCUCCUGUUUAAAUGGCGCCGCGUGAUUUCUGACUGGAAUUCGCGAAUGGAAUCCAAAUUGGCCUGCAACUGCGUUGCUAAUGGUCGCUACAGAAGAUAACGCGGACUGGAUCUUGACCGGCUUGGCGACAACGACGUGACUGCGCACACGAGUUUGCACAUGAAGAAACUGCCGUUUCUUGCCAGGAAGAGGCUUUGGUGGUGUAAACACGGGCAUUUUCACUCAAUUGAUGAACAGAUGGAUAACAAACAAAAUGAAGUUUGGUGGUGAAAUGCACUGAAAUAAGCUUGCAAAAUCACUUGAAAAAUCUCUCUUUGAAUCGUUCUGUAAAUCUCAGAUAAAUCUGGAUAAUACUUACUGGAAAAGUGAGUGAUUCCACGGUUGAUUUGCGUGGGGGUUAUCAUUUUCCUCCUUCGGACCAACACGACCAUUGCCAUGGAAACUCAGUAGCUGAAGCUUCUUACUAUGUAAUCAACCAAGGAUUCUCCAUCAGCAUUGGAAAUGUUAAUCUGGCAAAACACUGCAAAAUGCAAAGCAGAUACCUUAAGACAAUGUUUAAUCCAAGUGCAAUAAAUUCAUUCCUAUUCACACCAUAAGACAGCUGCCUUGUCCCGUUAUGAAGAAGAAUCAUUCAAGUAAAAAAUACUAAAAGGAGGUAACAAUUUUAUGUUUUGUCAAUUAAUUUCUUUAAAUGCUGAUGUGUAUCUAAAACUGGCUGGGAGUUUGUGACUAGGCUGUGGAGGUUUGCAAAAAGAGCUGAUAAGUUGUAUCCAAAAGAGGGCUCAAACGAUUUUACAAAAAUGUAUCCCAAAUGGUUGCUUGUGUCAGCCAGCAAACUUUGAUUGGCAAACAAGCCCAUUUCAGUUUUGAAGAUGACAGUUUGCCCCAGUUUAAAUGACAUCCCAAAAUUUUGGCUGCCAAAGAAUUUUUUUGUAGCAGCUUUAUUGUAGACUAUUCCUUUAUAUCACCUGGAGCUGGAAAUAAUUCAAAGUGAAGAAAUUUAUUGCAACAUGUUUACAUUAUUACAAUAAUCAUACUAUUUCACAGAGGUUAUAUUUGAUUGCAAAUCGUGUGGUAAAGUAUUUCAAUUAACUGAAAACUACCUAACCAAUUUAAAUUCUAGGUAAUCAAUAAACCUCAACGAAUAAGUGCCGAUUUUUUCCGCUCCUCAGAAGUGUAAAGAAUCUACUUUGA